AACUUUCGACAACGGAUCACUUGGCUCUCGCAUCGAUGAAGAACGCAGCGAAAUGCGUUAAGUAAUGUGAAUUGUAGAAUUCAGUGAAUCAUCGAAUCUUUGAACGCACCUUGCGCUCCUUGGUAUUCCGAGGAGCAUGCCUGUUUGAGUGUCAUUAAAUUCUCAACCUUUCCAUUAAUUUGGUUAGGCUUGGAUGUGGGGGUUGCGGGCUUCAUUAACGAGGUCGGCUCUCCUUAAAUGUAUUAGCGGAACUUUUGUGGACCGUCUAUUGGUGUGAUAAUUAUCUACGCCGUGGAUGUGAAGCAGCUUUAUGAAGUUCAGCUUCUAACCGUCCCUCGACUUGGACAAUUCUUGACAAUUUGACCUCAAAUCAGGUAGGACUACCCGCUGAACUUAAGCAUAUCAAAAGCGGAGGCU
rnacentral:misc_RNA from 1 species